CUGAUCAGUAUCCUAGUCAGUGUUUUCCAAGUUCAACGUCAGUACAGGCAAAAAUGUGGUCGCCUUUUAAAAUCAACAAGUGACACAACCUGGCAUUUUACCCCCUGCGUUCUAAUUACCCCAGUGCAGUAGGUGCAGCAGAGUCUCACGUGGUCAUCUGAGAUAAAGAGGAGGAAUGAAAAGACAAACAAGUGACUCAUUUUAAUGAAUUUGCUUCAGAUGAGAGAAACCUGUAAUUUCUCUUAGACUUGUUUGACGGACCCACUGUGCAGUGAAUCCCAGACUUACACAAGCCUUGAAACUCAGGGCAGGUUUACAGUUCUCCCAUCGGCUUCUCACCACGGCGGCUGGUUUACACUGGGGCCUCCUGGACUUCCUUUCAAAUAUGGAGAAGACAGAUCCCAGCUACUGAUGGGGACCUUGGGAGGUUCCAGAGCCAGCACCAGUGAUGGUGGGGCACGGUGGUGGGGAGCCCUGCGCCGACCCUCCUGCAGGGCUGCUGGAUCUCCUGAAUGCUGAUAGGACCUGGCACGGACUCUGGCCACUCUUCGCGAGGAACUAGUAAACCCCGCGUCCAGAAUGCAUCGUUAAGCCCAGCCAAUGGAUCUAAAUUGAUGAAUCGUUGAGGAUAAGAUGUGAAGAGCCUCGUGUGUGAAAAUGAAGUCCCAGGCAAUCACGAUUUACUGUUUAAUGUUAUUUCUGGCCACAGAAUGUUCUCAUCCUAGAUCCAAGACCCAC